GUAAUCGAUUACGAGUAUAUUGUAAUCGAUUACAUCAUGUAAAAUGCACAGGUCUGAUUAGUUUAUCAGCAUGUAAUCGAUUACCAGGAUUGUGUAAUCGAUUACACUGUUUAAAAAACAGCAAAAACUAAUGCUUUUCAUAUGUUGUAAUCGAUUACGAGUAUAUCGUAAUCGAUUACAUCAUGUAAAAUGCACAGGUAAGAAAAGCCAAAUGAGAGGGAAGAAAAUGAGUAGACAAUGGCCCGAACCCGAACGGGUAAGCCCGGCCCGAGCCCGAAUUUAUUGUGGCCCGGCCGGGCCGGGCUAAAAAGCCCGGUUUAACUAAAAUACU